rnacentral:rRNA from 1 species
AGAGUUGAUCCUGGCUCAGGACGAACGCUGGCGGCGUGCUUAAUACAUGCAAGUCGAACGAGGUCCAUCCGAUCUUCGGAUUGGUGAAGACCUAGUGGCGAACGGGUGCGUAACACGUGAGAAACCUGCCCCGGUCUCUGGAAUAACAGUUGGAAACGGCUGCUAAUACCGGAUGCCGUCGGCCCACCGCAUGGUGGACCGACGAAAGGGUUACCGGACCGGGAGGGUCUCGCGGCCUAUCAGCUUGUUGGUGAGGUAACGGCUCACCAAGGCAUCGACGGGUAGCUGGUCUGAGAGGAUGAUCAGCCACACUGGGACUGAGACACGGCCCAGACUCCUACGGGAGGCAGCAGUAGGGAAUAUUGCACAAUGGGCGAAAGCCUGAUGCAGCAACGCCGCGUGCGGGAAGAAGGCCCUAGGGUUGUAAACCGCUUUCAGCAGGGAAGAAAAUGACGGUACCUGCAGAAGAAGGUGCGGCCAACUACGUGCCAGCAGCCGCGGUGACACGUAGGCACCAAGCGUUGUCCGGAUUUAUUGGGCGUAAAGAGCUCGUAGGCGGUUCAGUAAGUCGGGUGUGAAAACUCUGGGCUCAACCCAGAGACGCCACUCGAUACUGCUGUGACUAGAGUGCGGUAGGGGAGCGGGGAAUUCCUAGUGUAGCGGUGAAAUGCGCAGAUAUUAGGAGGAACACCAGUGGCGAAGGCGCCGCUCUGGGCCGUAACUGACGCUGAGGAGCGAAAGCGUGGGUAGCAAACAGGAUUAGAUACCCUGGUAGUCCACGCCGUAAACGUUGGGCACUAGGUGUGGGUCUCAACCAACGAGAUCCGCGCCGUCGCUAACGCAUUAAGUGCCCCGCCUGGGGAGUACGGCCGCAAGGCUAAACUCAAGGAAUUGACGG